rnacentral:rRNA from 1 species
AAUCUUCCGCAAUGGACGAAAGUCUGACGGAGCGAUGCCUCGUGAGUGAUGAAGGCCUUCGGAUCGUAAAACUCUGUUGUUAGGGAAGAACAAGUAUCGGAGUAAUAUGCCGGUACCCUGACGGUACCUAACCAGAAAGCCCCCGCUAACUACGUGCUCGCCGCCGCGGUAAUCCGUAGGUGGCAAGCGUUAUCCGGAAUUAUUGGGCGUAAAGCGCGCGCAGGCGGUUUCUUAAGUCUGAUGUGAAAGCCCACGGCUCAACCGUGGAGGGUCAUUGGAAACUGGGAAGCUUGAGUGCAGAAGAGGAGAGUGGAAUUCCAUGUGUAGCGGUGAAAUGCGUAGAGAUAUGGAGGAACACCAGUGGCGAAGGCGACUCUCUGGUCUGCAACUGACGCUGAGGCGCGAAAGCGAGGGGAGCGAACA